GCAGCAGGCCGCCUUAUCGUCCCGAACUUGCUUCGGGGAGGAAAGUCCGGACACCAUAGGGAAGCAUAGCGGCUAACGGCCGUCGUCCUCCUUCGCUGAAGCUACGGAGGAUAGGACAAGUGCAGCAGAAAGUAUGUACAGGUAAUGCUGUAGUGAAACCAGGUAAACUCUAUGCGGUGAAAUGCCACGUAAACCUGUGCUUGAGGGUUCCCGCCCGAUGCAGGAGGGUAGGCAGAUUGAGCGUUUUGGUAACGAAACGCCUAGAUAAAUGAUAAGGAUUCGUCUUUUUGAUGGAUACAGAACCCGGCUUAUAGGCCUGCUUUUUUU
rnacentral:RNase_P_RNA from 1 species